CUCCUACGGGAGGCAGCAGUAGGGAAUCUUCCACAAUGGACGCAAGUCUGAUGGAGCAACGCCGCGUGAGUGAAGAAGGGUUUCGGCUCGUAAAGCUCUGUUGGUAGUGAAGAAAGAUAGAGGUAGUAACUGGCCUUUAUUUGACGGUAAUUACUUAGAAAGUCACGGCUAACUACGUGCCAGCAGCCGCGGUAAUACGUAGGUGGCAAGCGUUGUCCGGAUUUAUUGGGCGUAAAGCGAGUGCAGGCGGUUCAAUAAGUCUGAUGUGAAAGCCUUCGGCUCAACCGGAGAAUUGCAUCAGAAACUGUUGAACUUGAGUGCAGAAGAGGAGAGUGGAACUCCAUGUGUAGCGGUGGAAUGCGUAGAUAUAUGGAAGAACACCAGUGGCGAAGGCGGCUCUCUGGUCUGCAACUGACGCUGAGGCUCGAAAGCAUGGGUAGCGAACAGGAUUAGAUACCCUGGUAGUCCAUGCCGUAAACGAUGAGUGCUAAGUGUUGGGAGGUUUCCGCCUCUCAGUGCUGCAGCUAACGCAUUAAGCACUCCGCCUGGGGAGUACGACCGCAAGGUUGAAACUCAAAGGAAUUGACGGGGGCCCGCACAAG
rnacentral:rRNA from 1 species